UACGUAGGCAGCAAACGUUGUUCGGAGUUACUGGGCGUAAAGCGCACGUAGGCGGCUUGUUAAGUCGGGGGUGAAAUCCUGGAGCUCAACUCCAGAACUGCCUUCGAUACUGGCGAGCUCGAGUUCGGGAGAGGUGAGUGGAACUGCGAGUGUAGAGGUGAAAUUCGUAGAUAUUCGCAAGAACACCAGUGGCGAAGGCGGCUCACUGGCCCGAUACUGACGCUGAGGUGCGAAAGCGUGGGGAGCAAACAGG
rnacentral:rRNA from 1 species